GGUCUUUUAGUAUAAUGGUCUUACAGCAACCCUUCAAGUCGCUAAUGUCAGUUCGAAUCUGGUAAAGACUA
rnacentral:tRNA from 1 species